CCUACGGGGGGCAGCAGUGGGGAAUAUUGGACAAUGGGGGGAACCCUGAUCCAGCCAUGCCGCGUGUGUGAAGAAGGCCCUCGGGUUGUAAAGCACUUUCAGUGAGGAAGAACGCCUGGUGGUUAAUACCCAUCAGGAAAGACAUCACUCACAGAAGAAGCACCGGCUAACUCCGUGCCAGCAGCCGCGGUAAUACGGAGGGUGCGAGCGUUAAUCGGAAUUACUGGGCGUAAAGCGCGCGUAGGUGGCUGGAUAAGCCGGUUGUGAAAGCCCCGGGCUCAACCUGGGAACGGCAUCCGGAACUGUCAAGCUAGAGUGCAGGAGAGGAAGGUAGAAUUCCCGGUGUAGCGGUGAAAUGCGUAGAGAUCGGGAGGAAUACCAGUGGCGAAGGCGGCCUUCUGGACUGACACUGACACUGAGGUGCGAAAGCGUGGGUAGCAAACAGGAUUAGAUACCCUGGUAGUC
rnacentral:rRNA from 1 species